GUGUCAGGCUAGACAGUCUGCUGGGGAAGAUGACAGAUCAACCAGCGAACGCUCUCUGCCUUGCGCUACAUCUGAUCACCUACAAAAGAGACAAGCCCUGAGCAAUCGCCCACGCCUUCACUCAUUUUGGAGAUCACUCAGUUUGCAAAGGACAAGCUUCAGGCCGUAAGCGAGAUUUACAUCGACCUGCCUAAUGAUGGCACUACUGUCUUUGGUGAAUGGCAAGCUGAACUUGCCGGACGGAAGUAUGAGUUCCAGCGGGCUUCAAGAGAAACCCCUGGAUCAGGGGCGCUACACCAUACCCACCUCAAGCUAGCGUUACGGAACUAUUACUUUGGUUCUUUACCAGUGCGUCAAAUCAGGAACUGUCGAGGCAAGUUUUUUGACAUGCAGUGUUGUCACUAACUUUGUGCUUCCAAAAGCAUCUGUCAUGACAUGCACAUAUAUGCUCUGCAGGAACUAUCUUAUGCAUGAGGUACCAAGGUUCAUUAGGAUAACGGGCUCAGCAAUAAAGGGUCAGCUCGGAGGUACUCACCAAAUUGAUCAUGAAUUCAUGUCAGACCAAUAAUCCCCAUACCUCACAUGGAGACACCCGACUGAGACUGAACCAGAAUUCUCGUCACUCAUGCUGUCCGAUUCGGACCAUGUGCACACAUUGUCGAUCCAGAAACAAUUUGUUGAUGACUCACGGAAGUAUAACCUCACAUCUGCUCAGACGGUAUGUCUCAGUUUGGGCAUUUCAAUUGCAAAGUGUUUACUUGUCAGAUGGUUGAAUCUUUUUUGGUUUCUCCAAUUUCUACUCCAUCACAGUUCUUAACACCUGUCCUGCACCCUAAUGGAUGGAUGUUCAUCAUGUGGGACAUGAUGAGCAAGGUUAUGAAUGUCAUGGAUCCUCUCUACUCAACAAAUUGCCCUCGUCUGCCCACGCAGGAACGCGACCAGCUUAUUGCUUGGAAGCUGCAUGAUGCUUUGUUCAAUUUCCUUAACGAAUUCUACCCUGGAUGCAAUGACGAUUGGUCCAUCAACUUGCAAGUAUUAAUGGACACAAUUUU